rnacentral:rRNA from 1 species
UACGUAGGGGGCGAGCGUUGUCCGGAUUUAUUGGGCGUAAAGAGCUCGUAGGUGGUUUGUCACGUUGUUCGUGAAAACCCACAGCUUAACUGUGGGCGUGCGAGCGAUACGGGCAGACUAGAGUACUGCAGGGGAGACUGGAAUUCCUGGUGUAGCGGUGGAAUGCGCAGAUAUCAGGAGGAACACCGGUGGCGAAGGCGACUACCUGGCCUGUUCUUGACGCUGAGGCGCGAAAGCUAGGGGGAGCAAACGGG